rnacentral:rRNA from 1 species
AGACGUCUACAUUAGAUACCCCGGUAGUCCCAGCCGUAAACUAUGCGCGUUAGGUGUAUCGGUGACCACGAGUUACCGAGGUGCCGAAGGGAAACCGUGAAACGUGCCGCCUGGGAAGUACGGUCGCAAGGCUAGAAACUUAAAGGAAUUGGCGGGGAGCACCACAACGGGUGGAGCCUGCGGUUUAAUUGGACUCAACGCCGGGAAGCUCACCGGAUAAGACAGCGGAAUGAUUGCCGGGCUGAAGACUCUGCAUGACUAGCUG